CAGAAGAGUGGCAGUUGGUGAGCUAAAAUGAAUUUAUUUUUUCUGAAUUGAAAGUUUGAAUUCCACGGGUUAGUUUCUACCUACUAUAGAGGAGAGUUAGUGAAAAAGAUGGAGAGAAUCCAAGUUCCACAGCCUGCUGGCAAGACUGGCCCUUGGACCAGAAGAGCUCUUCCUCUGCAUCUGCACCAGGCUGGAAUUGUCUCAGGCCAAUGUCUGAACAACACCUGAGCUGGCUUUGGUCUCCUGGUCUUAAAGGAGCAGCCACUACAAGUAUUGAAGUCCUCCUUCCUGAGAAGCAGAUGGAAAUCUCCUGUUGGCACGAAGAGGAGAAUAAAUCUUUGCUUUUUCUUUGCUUCCAUGAAUGUAAUUUUCUUCUGCUUUAUUAAACUGCUUUUUUCUUGA